UGGGGGAUAUUGCACAAUGGGCGAAAACCUGAUGCAGCGACGCCGCGUGGGGGAUGAAGGCCUUCGGGUUGUAAACUUCUUUUGCUCUGAACAAGGCGCACCAUGGGGUGUGUUGAGUGUAGGGGUUGAUUAGCGCCGGCUAACUACGUGCCAGCAGCCGCGGUAAUACGUAGGGCGCGAGCGUUGUCCGGAAUUAUUGGGCGUAAAGGGCUUGUAGGUGGCUGGUUGCGUCUGUCGUGAAAGCUCAUGGCUUAACUGUGGGUUUGCGGUGGGUACGGGCUGGCUUGAGUGCAGUAGGGGAGGCUGGAAUUCCUGGUGUAGCGGUGGAAUGCGCAGAUAUCAGGAGGAAUACCGGUGGCGAAGGCGGGUCUCUGGGCUGUUACUGACACUGAGGAGCGAAAGCAUGGGGAGCGAACAGG
rnacentral:rRNA from 1 species